rnacentral:rRNA from 1 species
UACAGAGGUCCCAAGCGUUGUUCGGAUUCAUUGGGCGUAAAGGGUGCGUAGGCGGCGCGGUAAGUCGGGUGUGAAAUCUUGGAGCUUAACUCCGAAACUGCAUUCGAUACUGCCGUGCUUGAGGACUGGAGAGGAGACUGGAAUUUACGGUGUAGCAGUGAAAUGCGUAGAUAUCGUAAGGAAGACCAGUGGCGAAGGCGAGUCUCUGGACAGCAACUGACGCUGAGGCACGAAGGCCAGGGGAGCAAACGGG